rnacentral:rRNA from 1 species
GACGAACGCUGGCGGCGUGCUUAACACAUGCAAGUCGAACGAAGAGCGAUGGAAGCUUGCUUCUAUCAAUCUUAGUGGCGAACGGGUGAGUAACGCGUAAUCAACCUGCCCUUCAGAGGGGGACAACAGUUGGAAACGACUGCUAAUACCGCAUACGAUCUAACCUCGGCAUCGAGGAUAGAUGAAAGGUGGCCUCGACAUGUAAGCUAUCACUGAAGGAGGGGAUUGCGUCUGAUUAGCUAGUUGGGGGGGUAACGGCCCACCAAGGCGAUGAUCAGUAGCCGGUCUGAGAGGAUGAACGGCCACAUUGGGACUGAGACACGGCCCAGACUCCUACGGGAGGCAGCAGUGGGGAAUCUUCCGCAAUGGACGAAAGUCUGACGGAGCAACGCCGCGUGAGUGAUGACGGCCUUCGGGUUGUAAAGCUCUGUUAAUCGGGACGAAAGGCCUUCUUGCGAAUAGUUAGAAGGAUUGACGGUACCGGAAUAGAAAGCCACGGCUAACUACGUG